UACGUAGGGGCCGAGCGUUGUCCGGAGUUACUGGGCGUAAAGCGCGCGCAGGCGGCUCGUCAAGCCUGACGUGAAAGCCCCCGGACUCAACCGGGGAGGGUCGUCGGGGACUGGCGGGCUUGAGGUCGGGCAGGGGUUGGUGGAAUUCCCGGGUGUAGUGGAUGAAUGCGUAGAGAUCGGGAGGAACACCGUGGCGAAGGCGGCCAACUGGGCCGGAACCUGGACGCCUGGAGGCGACGAAGGCGUGGGGAGGCGAACGGGAAUUGAGAAACCCCGAGGUAGUC
rnacentral:rRNA from 1 species